rnacentral:rRNA from 1 species
AGUGGCGAACGGGUGAGUAACACGUGGGUGAUCUGCCCUGCACUUUGGGAUAAGCCUGGGAAACUGGGUCUAACACCGAAUAGGAUCAUGCUCUUCAUGGGGUGUGGUGGAAAGCUUUUGCGGUGUGGGAUGGGCCUGCGGCCUAUCAGCUUGUUGGUGGGGUAAUGGCCUACCAAGGCGACGACGGGUAGCCGGCCUGAGAGGGUGACCGGCCACACUGGGACUGAGAUACGGCCCAGACUCCUACGGGAGGCAGCAGUGGGGAAUAUUGCACAAUGGGCGCAAGCCUGAUGCAGCGACGCCGCGUGAGGGAUGACGGCCUUCGGGUUGUAAACCUCUUUCACCAGGGACGAAGCGCAAGUGACGGUACCUGGAGAAGAAGCACCGGCCAACUACGUGCCAGCAGCCGCGGUAAUACGUAGGGUGCGAGCGUUGUCCGGAAUUACUGGGCGUAUAGAGCUCGUAGGUGGUUUGUCGCGUUGUUCGUGAAAACUCACAACUCAAUUGUGGGCGUGCGGGCGAUACGGGCAGACUAGAGUACUGCAGGGGAGACUGGAAUUCCUGGUGUAGCGGUGGAAUGCGCAGAUAUCAGGAGGAACACCGGUGGCGAAGGCGGGUCUCUGGGCAGUAACUGACGCUGAGGAGCGAAAGCGUGGGGAGCGAACAGGAUUAGAUACCCUGGUAGUCCACGCCGUAAACGGUGGGUACUAGGUGUGGGUUCCUUCCUUGGGAUCCGUGCCGUAGCUAACGCAUUAAGUACCCCGCCUGGGGAGUACGGCCGCAAGGCUAAAACUCAAAGGAAUUGACGGGGGCCCGCACAAGCGGCGGAGCAUGUGGAUUAAUUCGAUGCAACGCGAAGAACCUUACCUGGGUUUGACAUGCACAGGACGCCGGCAGAGAUGUCGGUUCCCUUGUGGCCUGUGUGCAGGUGGUGCAUGGCUGUCGUCAGCUCGUGUCGUGAGAUGUUGGGUUAAGUCCCGCAACGAGCGCAACCCUUGUCCUAUGUUGCCAGCGGGUUAUGCCGGGGACUCGUAGGAGACUGCCGGGGUCAACUCGGAGGAAGGUGGGGAUGACGUCAAGUCAUCAUGCCCCUUAUGUCCAGGGCUUCACACAUGCUACAAUGGCCGGUACAAAGGGCUGCGAUGCCGUGAGGUGGAGCGAAUCCUUUCAAAGCCGGUCUCAGUUCGGAUCGGGGUCUGCAACUCGACCCCGUGAAGUCGGAGUCGCUA